UAUAUAUAUUUAUAUAAUAUAUAUAUCUUGUUUUUUUUUUUUUUCACACGUAAUUUGAAAUGGGUUCUUCUGCUACUUUGAAUAUGGCGUCACUGAUCAAAUCCACGCAUGUUUCUUCAUCAAAUUGCAAUUUCAAUGGCGAAAUUAAUUAUGGGUUUCACGUCAAAGGAACCAAGUCGCUCACCAAGCUCUCAGCUUUCUCUCCCAAUGGCUCUGUUUCUCGCUCUUGUUCCAAUGGGGCUACGAGUUCAGUGGGAGAUGCGCAUAGACGAAGAAGCAGUCUUGAAUCCCUGUUUUGUUAUGAUAAGGCUGUGCCCGAAGAGAGAAUUGAGAAGCCUGUUGGAAUAUAUUUGGCUGAAAAAUUAAUCGGAGACAACCCCCGAUGCAAUGAUUGCCAUGCCAAGGGUGCCGUCCUUUGCUCCACUUGCUCUGGUUCAGGCUUGUAUGUUGACUCAAAUAUUGGAGAGCCAGGGGAUUAUUGUUAAAGUCCGGUGCCUAGCUAGUGGAGAAGGUCAAGUAUUAAGGCUUUAAGGAAAGCGGAGACUAGGAGAACUGAAGGCUAGCCCAGGUUUGACAUCCGAGAGGCGACGCCAUAAGUAGUGCGGAGUAGGCAGCUACUACCGGCGAUGUGGACUUAUUUCGGGAAAGCGAAGAGUUGAAAUUGCUGGGCUAAAAUGCUGCAGCAUUCUGGGCGACAUUCUGAGAUUAGCUAGCAGCUGAUUGAUGUCAGCGCACUAGCUAGACAAAGCAGACAGAAAGGAAUCCGUUUGAGCUGGCUGAGGAGGUGUCAAAUGGGUCCACUGUGCACAUCAGCAAUGACACCUCAGCCCUUGUGUUGCCCUAGAAGGGAAUGUUUCUCUCAGGACAAGUUGGCAGCCGCCAGGGGGAGAAAAAGAGGAAGAGAGAGAAUUGGGCAUUAAUAUAAAGAGAAGACAGUUGCUGUUUCACAGAGGAGGGUACGGAGACACCAGAAAACACAAAAAGGCAUUAUUCAGAGAGGAAAAAGCUUCGGAGGAAAGCUGAAGAAACCAAAACAUCAAGCAAUAUUCAGCCUAGAAGGAAAUACAGAGACGUGAGAGCUGGAAGUUGAAGGACAUUGUUGGC